AGAGAGACGAUCACAUUCCGCUCUCACCGCUACAUGUCGUCGAAACUCAACAAAGCCCAAUAAGAAUAAGGAAUUCCAGCCCAUGACCAUAAUUGUCUCACAUUCAGCAGACACUACAAUUAUACAAGCUAUUGGCCAGCCAGACGUGAUAAGAACGAAACCGACGACGACAAUCCCUACGCCAUGCUUCCUGAUUUCCCGAGGAACCCACCACCGCCGGCGCUCCAUCACCAUUCGAUGUCCGCAUGGUUUCUAUGGGGGGUUCGUUCCG
rnacentral:misc_RNA from 1 species